ensembl:snoRNA
GGGGUGUGCUCAGAGCAGGGGGCCCGAAGAAUGGCUCCUCUGUUUACAACACACCCAAAAGGAAUCUGGGGUUACUCCUCACAGUGGGCAGGAUACAUUGGCCUUCCUGUGACAUCAUGCCCUAUAUAU